rnacentral:rRNA from 1 species
UACGUAGGGCGCAAGCGUUGUCCGGAAUUAUUGGGCGUAAAGAGCUCGUAGGCGGCUUGUCGCGUCGGUUGUGAAAGCCCGGGGCUUAACCCCGGGUCUGCAGUCGAUACGGGCAGGCUAGAGUUCGGUAGGGGAGACUGGAAUUCCUGGUGUAGCGGUGAAAUGCGCAGAUAUCAGGAGGAACACCGAUGGCGAAGGCAGGUCUCUGGGCCAUAACUGACGCUGAGGCACGAAAGCGUGGGGAGCGAACAGG